rnacentral:rRNA from 1 species
UGACGAGUUUGAUCCUGGCUCAGGAUGAACGCUAGCGGCAGGCUUAACACAUGCAAGUCGAGGGGUAGGAGCAGCUUGCUGCUUUGAGACCGGCGCACGGGUGCGUAACGCGUAUACAAUCUACCUUUUACAGAGGGAUAGCCCAGAGAAAUUUGGAUUAAUACCUCAUAGUAUUUUCGAAUCGCAUGAUUUGAUUAUUAAAGUUCCAACGGUAAAAGAUGAGUAUGCGUCCCAUUAGCUAGAUGGUAAGUAACGGCUUACCAUGGCAACGAUGGGUAGGGGUCCCGAGAGGGAGAUCCCCCACACUGGUACUGAGACACGGAACAGACUCCGUACGGGAGGC